AAAAAAGUGAGGAAACACCCCCUAUAAAUAAAUUAUCCAUCUUUUUAUCAGCUUAAGUUUUUUUUAUUGAGCUGGUUGAUUCUCACAACUCAAUACUUUAGACUUUUUUAUGAACUCAUUUUAUAGGGUGUCAGCUACGGGUUGACAACUUUCGUUGCAGGCCAUCAACGAGAAAAGAAAAGGAAUGAACCGCUGGUCUGUUGUAUUCUAAAUGUGUACAAUAACAUAGGUGUAGAAGGUCAACUAACCUAUUCGUUUGAACAUUAUUUUUUUAAAAAAAGAUAAUACUAGCUGUGACGAUAUUGCAACAAUUGUCGCGACGGCAUCACACCAUCGUCGAUGUCUCGUUGUUUUUUUGAAGCUCAUCUACGGGGACUGCAAUAUCUCUUUUCUGGUAAAUAAUGAGAUCUCCUUCUUUUUAUGCACUAUUAU
rnacentral:lncRNA from 7 species